UACCAGCACCCCGAGUGGUCGGGACGAUUAUUGGGCCUAAAGCAUCCGUAGCCGGUCAUGCAAGUCCUCCGUUAAAUCCAGCCGCUCAACGGUUGGGCUGCGGAGGAUACUACGUGGCUAGGAGGCGGGAGAGGCAAGCGGUACUCAGUGGGUAGGGGUAAAAUACGUAGAGAUUGGGAAGAACACCAGUGGCGAAGGCGGCUAUCUGGACGGUUUCUGACGCUAAGACGCGAAAGCGUGGGGAGCAAACAGG
rnacentral:rRNA from 1 species